rnacentral:rRNA from 1 species
UACAGAGGUCCCAAGCGUUGUUCGGAUUCACUGGGCGUAAAGGGUGCGUAGGCGGUGAGGUAAGUCGGAUGUGAAAUCUCCGAGCUCAACUCGGAAAUGGCAUUGGAAACUACCUCGCUAGAGAGUUGGAGGGGGGACUGGAAUACUUGGUGUAGCAGUGAAAUGCGUAGAUAUCAAGUGGAACACCAGUGGCGAAGGCGAGUCCCUGGACAACUUCUGACGCUGAGGCACGAAAGCUAGGGGAGCAAACAGG